ACAGCCACCAUGGCCUUUACUUCCGACAGAGAUAAGGCCAGGGCUCUGGAAGACAACGAGAUGGGAGAGAGGGCAGACUCAAAAGGAGGCCAGCAUCCCUAGCUGCAAAUACAAAGGACAACCUAUCAUGAAAGCUGAAGUCCCCCAGGAGCAGGAUGAUGGUAUCUUCUAAACUUGGAAUGUGCAUCAAGCACUAAUGAGCCAUAAUAAUACAUAUUUUGCAUAUUUUCCUUGGAUUUAUUUCUUAUGCAUGCCUGUAUACUUUAAAAUAAGAUGCUGAUAUGAAAAAUGAAUCCACAUUGAAGGUUCAAGACAUCCAUAUUAUUCACAGCACCUCUGUGCUGCUAAACUUUUCAGAAGAUAUCAGAAAUGAGAGAUGCCUUCUUGGACAUAUCUGUGAUAAGCUAAUGUCUAGAUCUAAAGUACCAUCAAAUAAAUAGUAUUGGUCAGAUGUCUAAAAUUCCAGCAUAACAAUAUAUAUGUGAAGCAGCUGUGCAAUGUUUGAUGUUAGCUAUGUACCAAAUUUAAUUAGAUAUUUCUAUUUCUAGAGUAAAAUUGAUAUAGACUGAGCAACUGGGAAGGAUUCUUUGUCAGUUAGAGCCUGGCUCUGCUUCUCAGCACACAAAGCAAGAAAACCAUCUGUGAAGGGCCUCUGAAACAUGGGAUCUAGCCAAAGAACAGCAGCUGGAGAUCAGGAAAUUGCUUGCCAUGGAAUACAGAGGCAACACUUGAAGACAUAGCUUUAAGUCUCAAAAUGUAAGAUAAAUUUAAGAAAGUGAAGGUCCGGACCAAAAAAAAAAAAAAAAAAAAAAAGCCUAAUUUUGCAGAGAUGGCAGACUAAGGUAUGACAUACUCCUACUCAAAACAACUGUACAUUCUUUGACUUCUUCCUUCCUGAUGGCCAAGAUAAGAUUUAUUUAACAACUACAAAAAUAUAUGAAGACUGCUGUGGUUUAUCUUUUGACAGUUCAGCUGAGAUGUUCUGGACUAGGUGGAUGAAAGUUGGUCCCUAACAUUCUACUCUAAGUUUUAAAUUUACUGGAUAACCACAAGAAAAAACAACAGGUUAAUUUCACAUGCUUCAGUACCUUAAGAGCUUUUCUGUCUAUCUAGAAAUAUUCCUUUAUUUGUUUGAUUUAUAUAUUUGCAAAGUUCUUCUCCUUCGUUAAUUACAAAAGGCAACAAAGAGUAAAAGGAGAAAUCUUAAAAUAUACCUAAAUAAGAAAAGAUACAUAUCUUGGAAAAUAAGUAUAUCAGAUCAUAACAAUUUACUGAUUUUUUUUUUUUUAAUUUUUAAUCUGCAUAAUGUAAUGAAAUUAAAUCCUUUGCUUUUCUUGGCACAAGACCCAUUGGAAAAAAUCACGUUAUAUGUUGAAGUGUUCUUUUAUUUUUUUUACAAGAUAUGAAAUGGGAAGGGUGGAGGGGGGAACAAAAUUUCUUCAGAGGGAAUAGCAGAGCUUAAAAACUAAAGCCAAACAAAAAAGAUUUCCAGACCAGCAACAUCCUCUGGCUGUUUGAUAAAAAGCCUGAACAGCUACACAAGGUCAAAAUAGCGUGGUAGGAAGGGAUUUACUUUUUCUGCACAUAAAAUUGGAUUUUUAAGUUCAAGGUCUAGAUUUCUUUCUUUUACAUCUGCAGUACCUCUGGCAAAGAAAACAACCUGUUCUCUUUCACAUUUUAUAUUUAUAUGACCAUGAACAUACUAUUACGUUUCAAUAAACUCGUGUUUACAAGCAGGUAGUAAAAUGUUGAGAAAAUCAUGCUAAUAACUGUACAGAUAUCAGGUUCUGUUUUAAAUCUUUAGUUAUUACAGCUUGCUGUGGAAACACAGCAGUUUAAGCACUGAGUAUUAAAGAGUUUGUGGAGUGCUAUAAAUUUCAGAUGCAUUUAUGUUAUAUGGUACUGUGCAAAUCAUAAUCUGAAAGUCAGUUUCAUUUGUGCAAUGUGUGCUUUAAUAGAAGAAAAACAGUUCAAGCAUGUGUGCUUUCCAUUUUUACAAGGAUCUUAAAAGAUUAUUUAAGUUGAAGGAAAAGCAGCUUCGAAUGAAAUUUGAGCUACUACCUGAAGAAAAGAUGUCAAGGAAUAACUGAAAUGAUAAAGCACUUAGUAAAAUUCUAACUUUCUCUGUUUUAUGAGCAAUUAAAAAUUUUCUCUAACAUUCCAUUGAGGGGCAGGGAAGACGACAAAAUUACCUUAUGAGCAAUUCUAUCAUGCAAAUCACUUAAUCUGAUUCCGUGUUAUGGUUUGAUUCCAGUCAGUUCUCAACUACUGAUUAUUUUGAUACAUAACUACAUUAACAAGCAGGACAGCUUUGUUCCUUGGGCUGCGUGGAAGUGGAGCAUCUUUCUUGGUUUGCCCACAAAUAAGGAAAAAACAGAAAGGGAAAAAAAAAAAAAAAAGGAAAAGGAAAAAGUGCAAAUGGGAAAAGAAGCAAACGCAGCGUAACAGUGCAAAGCUGUAACAGUCCUGGAGGAAACUCUCCAGAGAAAACAAACAAGUGGGCAGUACAGAAUGAGGGAACGCAAAACACCCUCAGUCACAGAGAUUUGAGAAGACAUAUUCUAUUCUAUUCUAUUCUAUUCUAUUCUAUUCUAUUCUAUUCUAUUCUAUUCUAUUCUAUUCUAUUCUAACCCCAACACAGGGUUCUGCUGACCUUAGGAGGCUGCAAAGCAUUAGCAGUUUGGGGGUGCCUGCCAUAGUUUAUAUUACUGUGUUGCUAAAGUUUACCAGAACUAAAUGCUGGCAAACAUAUCCAUCAUAACCGUACGCAAUGUUACUGUGAGCAAUUGAAGUUGUAUCUUGCAGUGCUCAUGUCAUUAAAAGACUGCUGCCAUAGGUACACAUUUACCUAAUCACAGUCACUUUCUUCCCAGGAUAAUGCCACUCUUGAGCAUCUUUUUGCAAAUUUCUACUUGUAUUGGAAGUUCUUCAGCUAGCAAUUUCAAGAAAAAAGAAACCUGUUUAUAUUCAUCAUCUUCAGUAAUUUGUAAAAGGACCUACUUUCACCUGGACCUUGAAUGUUGCCUUAGUUACAGAAGAUGGCCAAAAUAAGAGAAUCUAAAAUAAAAUAUAGGUUGGAAAACUUCA